rnacentral:rRNA from 1 species
GUUUGAUCCUGGCUCAGGACUAACGCUGGCGGCGUGCCUAACACAUGCAAGUCUGAGGAGAAUGGGAUUCGCAAGAUUCCCUAGUAAACUGGCGAAAGGGUGAGUAACACGUAGGUAACCUACCCUUCAGUGAGGAAUAACACUGGAAAACUGGUGCUAAUGCCACAUGAUAUCCCGAGUUCGCAUGGAUUUGGGAUCAAAGAGAGCUUCGGCAACGAAGCAUCGCUGUCGGAUGGGCCUGCGACCUAUUAGCUUGUUGGUGGGGUAACGGCCUACCAAGGCUACGAUGGGUAGCUGGUCUGAGAGGAUGAUCAGCCACACUGGCACUGAGACACGGGCCAGACUCCUACGGGAGGCAGCAGUGAGGAAUAUUGGGCAAUGGACGAAAGCCUGACCCAGCAACGCCGCGUGAGUGAUGAAGUACCGAGGUACGUAAAGCUCUGUUAGGAGGGACGAAUGUCCGGCUUGCCGGAAGUGACGGUACCUCCAAAGAAAGCUCCGGCUAGCUCCGUGCCAGCAGCCGCGGUAAUACGGGGGGAGCAAGCGUUGUCCGGAUUUAUUGGGCGUAAAGAGCGUGUAGGCGGGCCGAUAAGUCGGUGGUGAAAUCUCUCGGCUUAACCGAGAAAUAGCCAUCGAUACUGUCGGUCUUGAGUAUGGAAGAGGGAAGUAGAAUUCCUGGUGUAGCGGUGACAUGCGUAGAUAUCAGGAGGAAUACCAGUAGCGUAAGCGGCUUCCUGGUCCGUUACUGACGCUAAAACGCGAAAGCGUGGGGAGCAAACAGGAUUAGAUACCCUGGUAGUCCACGCCGUAAACGAUGGGUACUAGGUGUUGGAGGAUCGACCCCUUCAGUGCCGAAGCUAACGCAUUAAGUACCCCGCCUGGGAGUACGAUCGCAAGAUUGAAACUCAAAGGAAUUGACGGGGGCCCGCACAAGCGGUGGAGCAUGUGGUUUAAUUCGAUGCAACGCGAAGAACCUUACCCGGGCUUAAACUGCAGAGGAAAUCCGGUGAAAGCCGGCCCUCCUUCGGGAUCUCUGUAGAGGUGCUGCAUGGCUGUCGUCAGCUCGUGUCGUGAGAUGUUGGGUUAAGUCCCGCAACGAGCGCAACCCUUGUCCUUAGUUGCCAUCAGGUAAUGCUGGGCACUCUAGGGAGACUGCCUCGGAAGACGAGGAGGAAGGUGGGGAUGACGUCAAGUCCUCAUGGCCCUUACGUCCAGGGCUACACACGUGCUACAAUGGCCGGUACAAAGGGAUGCAAGACCGCGAGGUGGAGCCAAUCCCCAAAACCGGUCUCAGUUCGGAUUGGAGUCUGCAACUCGACUCCAUGAAGUUGGAAUCGCUAGUAAUCGCGAAUCAGCAGGUCGCGGUGAAUACGUUCCCGGGCCUUGUACACACCGCCCGUCACGCCAUGAAAGUCGGGAGUACCAGAAGCCGGUGGCCCAACCCGCAAGGGGGGGAGCCGUCAAAUGUAAGACCGAUGAUUGGGGCGAAGUCAACAAGGUA